rnacentral:rRNA from 1 species
AUUGAACGCUGGCGGCAUGCUUUACACAUGCAAGUCGAACGGUAACAGGCCUUCGGGUGCUGACGAGUGGCGAACGGGUGAGUAAUGCAUCGGAACGUACCCAGAGGUGGGGGAUAACGCAGCGAAAGCUGUGCUAAUACCGCAUGUGAUCUGAGGAUGAAAGCGGGGGACCGAGCAGCAAUGUUUGGCCUCGCGCCUUUGGAGCGGCCGAUGUCGGAUUAGCUAGUUGGUGGGGUAAAGGCCUACCAAGGCGACGAUCCGUAGCUGGUCUGAGAGGACGACCAGCCACACUGGGACUGAGACACGGCCCAGACUCCUACGGGAGGCAGCAGUGGGGAAUUUUGGACAAUGGGCGCAAGCCUGAUCCAGCAAUGCCGCGUGCGGGAAGAAGGCCUACGGGUUGUAAACCGCUUUUGGCAGGAACGAAACGGUGUCCGCUAAUACCGGGCGCUAAUGACGGUACCUGCAGAAUAAGCACCGGCUAACUACGUG